rnacentral:rRNA from 1 species
CGCGAACGCUGGCGGCAUGGCUAAAGCAUGCAAGUCGAACGAUUAAAGCCCCUUCGGGGGUGUAUAAAGUGGCGUAAGGGCGAGGAAUACAUUUCUACGUACCCCGAGGUCGAGGAUAGCCCAGGGAAACUUGGAGUAAUACUCGACGUGGUCCUUCGGGAUCAAAGGCUUCGGUCGCCUUGGGAGCGGGGAAUGUCCUAUCAGGUUGUUGGUGAGGUAACGGCUCACCAAGCCUCUGACGGGUAGCGGGUGUGAGAGCAUGACCCGCCGCAUCGGGACUGAGACACUGCCCGGACUCCUACGGGAGGCUGCAGCAACGAAUCUUCCGCAAUGCGCGAAAGCGUGACGGAGCAAUGCCGCGUGCAGUAUGAAGCCCCUCGGGGUGUAAACUGCUGUCAGAGUUCAGCAACACAAUGAGCAGACUCAAAGGAAGGGCCGGCUAACUUCGUGCCAGCAGCCGCGGUAAUACGAAGGGCCCGAGCGUUGCGCGGAAUCACUGGGCUUAAAGCGUACGUAGGCGGACAUGCAGGCAUCUUGUGAAAUCCCUCGGCUCAACCGAGGAACUGCAGGGUGAACCGCAUGUCUUGAGGUGAGUAGGGGCUGUCGGAACGAUAGGUGGAGCGGUGAAAUGCGUUGAUAUCUAUCGGAACGCCAAAGGCGAAGGCAGACAGCUGGGCUUAUUCUGACGCUGAGGUACGAAAGCGUGGGGAGCGAACGGGAUUAGAUACCCCGGUAGUCCACGCCGUAAACGAUGUGCACUAGAUCGAGGGAGUUCUGACACUAUUCUCGGUCGAAGCAAAAGUGUUAAGUGCACCGCCUGGGGAGUACGGUCGCAAGGCUAAAACUCAAAGGAAUUGACGG